rnacentral:rRNA from 1 species
UACGAAGGGGGCUAGCGUUGCUCGGAAUCACUGGGCGUAAAGCGCACGUAGGCGGACUCUUAAGUCGGGUGUGAAAUCCCUCGGCCCAACUGAGGAACUGCGCCCGAGACUGCUUCUCUUGAGUCCCGGAGAGGAAGAUGGAAUUCCCGGUGUAGCGGUGAAAUGUGUAGAGAUCGGGAGGAACACCGGUGGCGAAGGCGGUCUUCUGGACGGUGACUGACGCUGAGGCGCGAAAGCGUGGGGGAGCAAACGGGG